rnacentral:lncRNA from 1 species
AAAAAUACUGAACCAUAUAAACUAUCUGAGCUAUAUUAACAUAAUAGUAAGGGUAGAAACUAAACCGAAUAACCUGGGUCGGAAGCUCUAUCGACCGCUACGAACGUGUCUCACAUCUCGUCUCGACUCUCACCGCCCGCAAUACCUGAAAAAUGGUGGGGGAGGUGAGAACAUGUAAACAUGUCUCCCCUCCCAGUGGGUACCGCAAGCCGAAGAAGGCGAGGAGUACUCACCGGAUCAGGAAGAGCUAAACAACAGUACGGGUCAGUAGAAAUACAAUAGCAAUAAUAAUGAAUGAAAGAGACAUAUAUAUGAAAGAAGUACAACUACCGCUACUGUAAUGGACAACUGAAUGUAUACAUGUAACAAGACUAUAGUAGCAAGACAAUGUAAUGAAAGAACUGAAGGUAUACAAGCAACAACCGCUACUAUAGUUAUAUGCGUCAACCGGACAAGAAGUCCAAAUAUACCCAAUCUGGUACCUGCUAUAUUGGUCCGCAGACCUCAAGCGCUGCCUGUCACUAACCUGCACCGACCUGAUUCACCCGCCCCAUAGGACGACCCAUCCGGAUAAGUACACCUCCGAUCGGUGGCCAAACCGAUCCGGUGUCGUGAAUACCCCCAAGUGCUGUGACUAAGUC